GAUAAGUGCAAGUUGGGUUUUCAAGUAUGUAGUUUUGGGCUUUUGAAAACUAGGGAAUCAUGUCAGGGAAGUUAUGUGCAAGAAAAUUGAAGAGAGAUUUUGUUUAAUAUAUUGAUUGUGGGAAAUAGUAUGAUCUUCUAUCAAUUUGAUUCGAAUUUGUAGUCUUAGCUUGAAAUUCUUAAGAUCAGCUUGAAAGUUGGUUACUGAAAUUGAAGUAUGAAAAUCUCAAUUGUCUUUGAAGCUCCAAAUUUUAUUCUAUGCAUUUAUAUUAACUAGUUUCAGAUUUUGUAUUCGAUAAUUGGGUUCUCUUUUUGUGUAUAAUUUUUUUUUUUUUUUUUAAAGGGAUCUAGGCUUGUCUUUGGUGGAUCUGGGUUGUUUCUGACUAUGAUGGGGAUAUCAUCAGUAGGGGAACAUGCUAUUUAAAGAAGAAAAUUUGAACUUGCGAAGGCAAAGUAUGACAAGGUUGCAGAUGAACUUGUAGCAGAGUUUUCUGACCCUAUCAAUGGUGUUACAUCCCCUGAUCAGGUUUGAUAACCAAACUGAUGUGGUUCAUUCUUUGGUUGAAAUGCAUGGUUCAUUUUCUUUGUUAAAUUUGCAAUGUGGAUAAAUUUUUUAGUGUGGUUCAUUCCUCAUCUUUCUUUUUUGUCUUGAUUUCUUUCUCUCUCUCUCUUUCUUUCUUUCUUUCUUUCUUACUUUCUUGUCAUAGCUAAUUGUUCAUUCCAUUUUAUUUGCAGGAGAAAACAGAAUAUUUUGGCUACCAACAUGAUUUUGAGUAAGGCUAGUUUUUGCUUUGAAGCAAAGUUUGGUGUAGAACCUUUGUAGUUGGUUGCUAAUAUGUUUAUAGGCUAGCCUUUGUAGGUUUUGGGGUUUUAUUUUGUGAAUUAUGUAGAAUCAUGAAUGAAGAUGAGAAAAUUAAUGGAAAGCCCCAA